CAAAACAUUCAGUUCACUUGACUCAAUAGAAGUCAUCUUUUGAAUAUAUUGUGACCUGGAAAUAUUUGUCUUUCCACUGGUACAACAUUAAAUCUACCUAUGGUCAGUGGAACACACUGACCUUUCAGUUCCAAAACAUUCUUUCACGUCUCAUGUGGUUUCAAUAAAUUCAUGUUAGGUAAAGUUUCACUUCUUACCCCAAUAACGUGUAGGCGAGUAAAGAAAAACUAUUUUGACCACAUAAUAUAUUGUGAUUGAAACUUUUUCUUCACAUAGAUUUGGUUACAGAAUAUGUCAAUGAUACUAGAAGACAAUGCAAAAUAAUUUUAAAGGAAAAAAAGAAAAGGCCUAUAAGACUGUUGUUUCAAGAUUAUAAAUGACAGCAUUGCUAUUACAAACUUAUCCCCAUGGAUGAAAUAUAAAUGGAAAAUAAUUCCUAGAUCUCUUUGUGCUGUGAUAGAGCAAAAUGUAACAUAUUUAGAAUGUUCAAAUAAAUAUCAGAGGAAAUGUCAAGUGAUAGGUGCUUGUUUUUAAUAUUUUAAUUGCUCAUAACCAUUUGUUUUUGUUAAUUAUAGAAAUAUUUUCAGAAAACUUUUUCCUUGUUUUAUUAUAGUAACAUUGGGAUAAGACCCAGAAGAUUUUGAAAUCAUAUGGAAAAAUGAGAAUCAUAUACUUUUGGAGAAAUGUUAACAGUUAUUAAAAAAUGUCUAUUUUGUGAUUUCCAUCUGACACUCAAAAUAAAGAGAAUGGAGAUCAUUAAUAUACAACAGAAUCACUUCCAAGCCUUGCCUAUUUAGGCUCCUGUGAGAGAAUAAUAUUGGAGAACAACCUGCAAACAGAUGCAAUGGAUGGAACUUUGAAGAGCUGUCCAUCAAGGAGCAUUCCAGAGGACAAUGUGACCUGGAGAAGUCAGUUAAAAGAAACACCCAAACUGCUGGAAAAAAAUCUCUCUUUCUCCUGGCACUUGAAGGAGGAAGAACUGAGAAGCUCCUUUCCUUAA
rnacentral:lncRNA from 1 species